rnacentral:rRNA from 1 species
UACGUAGGGGCCUAGCGUUGUCCGGAUUUAUUGGGCGUAAAGAGCUCGUAGGCGGUUCGGCAAGUCGGAUGUGAAAUCCUGGAGCUCAACUCCAGAACUGCCUUCGAUACUGGCGAUCUCGAGUCCGGAAGAGGUGAGUGGAACUCCUAGUGUAGAGGUGGAAUUCGUAGAUAUUAGGAAGAACACCAGUGGCGAAGGCGGCUCACUGGCCCGGUACUGACGCUGAAAUACGAAAGCGUGGGGAGCAAACAGG